GAUGAACGCUAGCUACAGGCUUAACACAUGCAAGUCGAGGGGUAACGAGAGGAAGGCUUGCUUUCCUUGUCGACGACCGGCGCACGGGUGAGUAACGCGUAUCCAACCUGCCCCCAACUAGGGAAUAACCUUGCGAAAGUAAGACUAAUACCCUAUAAUUUCCUCAGAUGUCAUCUGACGAGGAAUAAAGAUUUAUCGGUUGUGGAUGGGGAUGCGUCUGAUUAGCUUGUUGGCGGGGUAACGGCCCACCAAGGCAACGAUCAGUAGGGGUUCUGAGAGGAAGGUCCCCCACAUUGGAACUGAGACACGGUCCAAACUCCUACGGGAGGCAGCAGGGAGGAAUAUUGGUCAAUGGGCGGAAGCCUGAACCAGCCAAGUAGCGUGCAGGAUGACGGCCCUAUGGGUUGUAAACUGCUUUUAUACAGAAAUAAAGUUAGCCACGUGUGGUUAUUUGUAGGUACUGUAUGAAUAAGGACCGGCUAAUUCCGUGCCAGCCGCCGCCGUAA
rnacentral:rRNA from 1 species